UGGGGAAUUUUGGACAAUGGGCGAAAGCCUGAUCCAGCAAUGCCGCGUGUGUGAAGAAGGCCUUCGGGUUGUAAAGCACUUUUGUCCGGAAAGAAAUCCUUGGCUCUAAUACAGUCGGGGGAUGACGGUACCGGAAGAAUAAGCACCGGCUAACUACGUGCCAGCAGCCGCGGUAAUACGUAGGGUGCAAGCGUUAAUCGGAAUUACUGGGCGUAAAGCGUGCGCAGGCGGUUUGCUAAGACCGAUGUGAAAUCCCCGGGCUCAACCUGGGAACUGCAUUGGUGACUGGCAGGCUAGAGUAUGGCAGAGGGGGGUAGAAUUCCACGUGUAGCAGUGAAAUGCGUAGAGAUGUGGAGGAAUACCGAUGGCGAAGGCAGCCCCCUGGGCCAAAUACUGACGCUCAUGCACGAAAGCGUGGGGAGCAAACAGGAUUAGAUACCCUGGUAGUCCACGCCCUAAAACGAUGUCAACUAGUUGUUGGGGAUUCAUUUCCUUAGUAACGUAGCUAACGCGUGAAGUUGACCGCCUGGGGAGUACGGUCGCAAGAUUAAAACCCAAAUGAAUUGACGGGGU
rnacentral:rRNA from 1 species